CCUACGUGAGGCUGCAGUGGGGAAUAUUGGACAAUGGGGGGAACCCUGAUCCAGCCAUGCCGCGUGUGUGAAGAAGGCCCUCGGGUUGUAAAGCACUUUCAGUGAGGAAGAACGCCUGGUGGUUAAUACCCAUCAGGAAAGACAUCACUCACAGAAGAAGCACCGGCUAACUCCGUGCCAGCGGCCGCGGUAAUACGGAGGGUGCGAGCGUUAAUCGGAAUUACUGGGCGUAAAGCGCGCGUAGGUGGCUUGAUAAGCCGGUUGUGAAAGCCCCGGGCUCAACCUGGGAACGGCAUCCGGAACUGUCAAGCUAGAGUGCAGGAGAGGAAGGUAGAAUUCCCGGUGUAGCGGUGAAAUGCGUAGAGAUCGGGAGGAAUACCAGUGGCGAAGGCGGCCUUCUGGACUGACACUGACACUGAGGUGCGAAAGCGUGGGUAGCAAACAGGAUUAGAUACCCUUGUAGUC
rnacentral:rRNA from 1 species